GGGUUGUGAGGUUAAGUGACUAAGCGUACACGGUGGAUGCCUAGGCAGUCAGAGGCGAUGAAGGGCGUGCUAAUCUGCGAAAAGCGUCGGUAAGGUGAUAUGAACCGUUACAACCGGCGAUACCCGAAUGGGGAAACCCAGUGUGUUUCGACACACUAUCAUGUCAUGAAUACAUAGUGGCAUGAGGCGAACCGGGGGAACUGAAACAUCUAAGUACCCCGAGGAAAAGAAAUCAACCGAGAUUCCCCCAGUAGCGGCGAGCGAACGGGGAGGAGCCCAGAACCUGAAUCGGCUUGUGUGUUAGUGGAAGCGUCUGGAAAGUCGCGCAGCAAAGGGUGAUAGCCCCGUACACUAAAAUGCACAGGUCGUGAGUUCGAUGAGUAGGGCGGGACACGUGACAUCCUGUCUGAAUAUGGGGGGACCAUCCUCCAAGGCUAAAUACUCCUGACUGACCGAUAGUGAACCAGUACCGUGAGGGAAAGGCGAAAAGAACCCCGGCGAGGGGAGUGAAAUAGAACCUGAAACCGUGUACGUACAAGCAGUGGGAGCACCUUCGUGGUGUGACUGCGUACCUUUUGUAUAAUGGGUCAGCGACUUAUAUUUUGUAGCAAGGUUAACCGUAUAGGGGAGCCGUAGGGAAACCGAGUCUUAACUGGGCGAAUAGUUGCAAGGUAUAGACCCGAAACCCGGUGAUCUAGCCAUGGGCAGGUUGAAGGUUGGGUAACACUAACUGGAGGACCGAACCGACUAAUGUUGAAAAAUUAGCGGAUGACUUGUGGCUGGGGGUGAAAGGCCAAUCAAACCGGGAGAUAGCUGGUUCUCCCCGAAAGCUAUUUAGGUAGCGCCUCGUGAACUCAUCUUCGGGGGUAGAGCACUGUUUCGGCUAGGGGGCCAUCCCGGCUUACCAAACCGAUGCAAACUCCGAAUACCGAAGAAUGUUAUCACGGGAGACACACGGCGGGUGCUAACGUCCGUCGUGAAGAGGGAAACAACCCAGACCGCCAGCUAAGGUCCCAAAGUCAUGGUUAAGUGGGAAACGAUGUGGGAAGGCAUAGACAGCCAGGAUGUUGGCUUAGAAGCAGCCAUCAUUUAAAGAAAGCGUAAUAGCUCACUGGUCGAGUCGGCCUGCGCGGAAGAUGUAACGGGGCUAAACCAUGCACCGAAGCUGCGGCAGCGACGCUUAGGCGUUGUUGGGUAGGGGAGCGUUCUGUAAGCCGUUGAAGGUGGCCUGUGAGGGUUGCUGGAGGUAUCAGAAGUGCGAAUGCUGACAUAAGUAACGAUAAAGCGGGUGAAAAGCCCGCUCGCCGGAAGACCAAGGGUUCCUGUCCAACGUUAAUCGGGGCAGGGUGAGUCGACCCCUAAGGCGAGGCUGAAAAGCGUAGUCGAUGGGAAACAGGUUAAUAUUCCUGUACUUGGUGUUACUGCGAAGGGGGGACGGAGAAGGCUAGGCUAGCCGGGCGACGGUUGUCCCGGUUUAAGCGUGUAGGGGGUGUGACCUGGUAAAUCCGGUUACAUAUCAACCCUGAGGCGUGAUGACGAUGCACUACGGUGCAGAAGUAGUUGAUGCCCUGCUUCCAGGAAAAGCCUCUAAGCUCUAGGUAACAUUGAAUCGUACCCCAAACCGACACAGGUGGUCAGGUAGAGAAUACCAAGGCGCUUGAGAGAACUCGGGUGAAGGAACUAGGCAAAAUGGUGCCGUAACUUCGGGAGAAGGCACGCUGGCAUGUAGGUGAAGUCCCUUGCGGAUGGAGCUGAAGCCAGUCGAAGAUACCAGCUGGCUGCAACUGUUUAAUAAAAACACAGCACUGUGCAAACACGAAAGUGGACGUAUACGGUGUGACGCCUGCCCGGUGCUGGAAGGUUAAUUGAUGGGGUCAGCCGCAAGGCGAAGCUCUUGAUCGAAGCCCCAGUAAACGGCGGCCGUAACUAUAACGGUCCUAAGGUAGCGAAAUUCCUUGUCGGGUAAGUUCCGACCUGCACGAAUGGCGUAAUGAUGGCCAGGCUGUCUCCACCCGAGACUCAGUGAAAUUGAACUCGCUGUGAAGAUGCAGUGUACCCGCGGCAAGACGGAAAGACCCCGUGAACCUUUACUAUAGCUUGACACUGAACAUUGAGCCUUGAUGUGUAGGAUAGGUGGGAGGCUUUGAAGCGUGGACGCCAGUCUGCGUGGAGCCAUCCUUGAAAUACCACCCUUUAAUGUUUGAUGUUCUAACUCGGCCCCGUGAUCCGGGGUGAGGACAGUGUCUGGUGGGUAGUUUGACUGGGGCGGUCUCCUCCCAAAGAGUAACGGAGGAGCACGAAGGUUAGCUAAUCACGGUCGGACAUCGUGAGGUUAGUGCAAAGGCAUAAGCUAGCUUGACUGCGAGAGUGACGGCUCGAGCAGGUACGAAAGUAGGUCUUAGUGAUCCGGUGGUUCUGAAUGGAAGGGCCAUCGCUCAACGGAUAAAAGGUACUCCGGGGAUAACAGGCUGAUACCGCCCAAGAGUUCAUAUCGACGGCGGUGUUUGGCACCUCGAUGUCGGCUCAUCACAUCCUGGGGCUGAAGUAGGUCCCAAGGGUAUGGCUGUUCGCCAUUUAAAGUGGUACGCGAGCUGGGUUUAGAACGUCGUGAGACAGUUCGGUCCCUAUCUGCCGUGGGCGUUGGAAGAUUGAGAGGGGUUGCUCCUAGUACGAGAGGACCGGAGUGAACGCACCACUGGUGUUCGGGUUGUCAUGCCAAUGGCAUUGCCCGGUAGCUAAGUGCGGAAAAGAUAAGCGCUGAAAGCAUCUAAGCGCGAAACUUGCCUCAAGAUGAGUCUUCCCUGGGCCUUUAAGGUCCCUGAAGGAACGUUUAAGACUAAGACGUUGAUAGGCUGGGUGUGUAAGUGCAGCGAUGCAUUGAGCUAACCAGUACUAAUGAUCCGUGAGGCUUAACCUUACAACACCGAAGGUGUUU
rnacentral:rRNA from 1 species